AUACACGGCUAAUGUAUGAAGAAGUGAGAAAUAUAGUAAGUGUACAAUAAAAAAAAACUUAUUUCACAAUGUGAUGAAAAAUGUCCAAUUACAGCUUAAGGCAUUCUUCAUACCGGUUGCCUAACACAUUCAACGCAUUCUUGAUUUGGGGGGGAAAAAAGCAACACGUAAAAGAUUUUCCACUGCAUUCUGACAACUGGAUUACAUAAUCUCUUGACAUGCUUAUGAGAUGACCAAGGGAGCAAGCGCCGAGACUAAGGGGAGAAGAAGUGAUUAGCUUGCCGCUAAGAAAAGAACCACCACCUGAUGGGGCGAUGUCAGAGAGAAAUUAUAGAGACAAAUAGAAAACUUUCUGAAGUACAUGGGAUCAAAAGGUAUCUACAUAUGCUUUAUGCAUUUAAAUUGUUCUUACUCAAUAGAUAUUGAGAAGAGGAACCAUGAUUGAAGAGUUUCCAUUAGUUACUGUUUAGGAUGCAAUAACAUGAAAAACUGUUGAAUCUACGGGAGCCCUCCCCCAAAAAGAUAUCAAUAUCCCUUUAAGAGUUGUAGAUUAGGUACUUUUAAGAGCAUCUUGGUAUUCCAGAUGCUGAAACAAGGUGAUCUUUACUUGGGUGACUCCACCAGCUGUGUUGUGAAUUUGUGGCAUUGUUGAUGUACAUUUAGCCCACAAUUCAUUUCGUGCCUAAUGAUACCAAAGUGGUAUUAUCUCAUAGGUACUUUACAUGCAUGUUUUCCAUUUGUGAAGUAUCUGAGUAGGCUCUGUAUGGUUUUGCAACCUAAGUAAAUUUGUUCAAGCUCCUGGGGAAGUUCUUCCAUGGUUCUUGGGUUUCUCAUAUCCUUAUCAAAUAAAGUAAGUUCUUCCAUGGUUAAAGCUUGCAGUGGAGUGCAUCUUUUGUUCUGCAUGUAUUCGCUUUGUGGAAUGUCCACAAGAAGGGCUCACAGAGAAGCCUUGGAUGGGACUUGAGAAUUUUGUAUUCGAUUGGCUUAUAAAUGCAGACAGAAUUGUUAGCCAGGUUGAGUAUCCUUUGUUGGUUGAAAUGCAGAGCCUUCUUCUUGACUUAGUUGCUGAACUCCUUGAUGCUCUAUCUAGGAUCAGAUUCAGUUCAGUGACAGAGUCUUUUUCAUGGAACUCAAUACCUGUUGUAUAGAUACUAAUGUUGCUCGCCGUGAAGCACUUAGUAUUGUAAAUGGAAUGCCACAUCUGAAGCUAGGGCCUAGGGGUGAAGACAGAGGGUGGACUGAACGCUUCAGCUUCCUUUGUGGCUAAAUUUAACCCUUUGAAUCGUGCUCCUCAUUAACGAAAAAGAGAAAUUCAUCAUGCCUUAUGUAAUAUGCUAUCAAACAUCCUAGCACCUCUUGCAGACGGUGGAAAGGGUCAAUGGCCCCUUUCAAGCGUAGAUCCUGCACUAACUCUAUAUUAUGAAGCUGUGGCACGACUAAGGAUACAGCUCAUGCAUUGGAUGAAUAAACAGAGCAAACAUAUCUCUAUGCUGUAACAAAAUAGAAAUCUCAGGGAUAUCUAUUCCGCUCAGCUCUGAAGUGCAUACCAUAUCUGAUUGAAGAAGUAGGCCGAAGUGAUAAAAUUACUGAGAUAAUACCUCAACAUGGCGUCAGUAUUGAUCCUGGUGUGCGUGAGGAGCGGUACAAGUACUCAUUGGAUUGUGAGGUACCUGCCACAUCAUCGCUUUUCAGUUAUGAGAGAGAUGUCAAACUUCAUUCUACGCCUUCCAUAUGAGUUCCCUCUUCUCAUUCAGACUUCGAUGGGCCACCUUCUGGAGCUCAUGCAUUUUCAGAGAGCUUGUGUAACUGAUGAUAAGGUGGAGUAUGAUGCUUCUGCUGCAAAACGUGUGCAGAGAACGGAGGGAUUCUGGAGGUCUUCUUUCCAUCUCUCAAGAAACAACUUCUGAGAUAGAUGCAGUUGGUCUUAUGUUCCUUAGUUCAGUGGAUAGUCUGAUUUGGCACACAGCACUGGAGUUAUUGCACCGUGUUCGUGCUUUAAGAAAUGAUACAAAGGAAUUCUCAUUGCAUGAGCGAUCAGAUCGUAAUUUGAAAGAUGAAGCUGAACCCAUAUUCAUAAUUGAUGUUUUAGAAGAGCAUGGGGUGGGUAGCAUUCUCUUUCCCUUUUAAUACAUCCUGACAUUCUCUUUUUUUUUUUGUUAGGAAAUUCAAGCGCAUAUCUAGUAAGGAUCUUUGCUUCGGCAGGAUGAUAUCUUCCAGAUUUGUUACUGGGAUUCGGGGUGUCCAUUUGAUCUGAGGCGAGAGUCUGAACCUGUACCCCCUGAUGCUGCUCUCCAAUCUAUACUCUGUGAGAGCCCGGAUAAGAACAGAUGGGCCCGCUGUCUUGCGAGCUUGUCAAACAUGCAGCGGAGUUGUGUCCAAGUUCUGUUCAGGAAGCAAAGCAAAGAAGUUAUGGAAAUAUAGACAUCUGAAACUCUUGAAAAUGUUCAAAGCUGCCUGCUUUAGCGUGUCAUUUAUCUUUCAUGAGUACUUUUGGAUAUACUUGGGGAAGCCAAAACAACCCUGUUGUGGAAUUAGUUGUGUAAUGUUAGACCACCUACAAUUUUGCAAAUAGCUUAAUGUAAAAAACCUAAACGUAAUAAAUGUAAUUCUUUGCUACCAUUACUCACAAGUAGUUUUUCCUCUUAGGAAUAGUAUAUGAGCACCUGUUCCAUCAUGCUGUGCAUUGCUUGUUGUUUGAUGGAUUUCUGAGUUCUUCCUAUGAAGCAUGCCUUCAUAAGAAUAUCUUAUUCAUUGUUAAAGUUAUUGUAUAUUUGAAGUUCCAUUCCUUAAUCAUUCAUGCAGUUCCUUAUUUUAAAGUUCAACCUUGAGUAAUUCUGUGCAGAAAGUUUGAAGGUUGCACCGCCACAGACCUGAAAGCCGACAACCCAUUGCCUCGCCUCUCGCCACUCGCCAUUGGCAACGUGGCAAGUGCCUUUCACAACCCUGCCCCAGAGAGUGAUAAUUGUAAGGGCCUUAAAAUUUGUUCUGAGAAAAAACGUGAUAUGCUGCCUUUAGAGCUCCUCAAGUUUGGAAAGGAGACAUAUGGUCUGCUAAUAUUGGUUCUCUAUUACCAGAAAUGGAAAAUGACAAGCAUAGGCUACUUACGAUGAGGAAGGACGGUACCUCCGGCCAUCUAAUCCAGCCUUUGAGCAAGUACUGGCUUCGUUGGCCAUGGUUGCACAUCACUCACCUGUUCCUCUUCUGGUGGCCUUUUUACGAUGGAGAGAGAGGUGCACAUUUUCAGUUACAAUUCGUCCUAAUCAUGGCCCAUUUUUUCAUUUAUGUGUCAAGUUAAAGGGUAUUUUUCAUCAUGUGCUUUUAAUUCAUGCAAGUUCAUUUUGUUGAAAGAAAAUCCGCCCUUCGUACAGUUGUGCUAGCAGGUCCAUUUGAUAAUUAUAUAUUGUUCAUUUAGUCCCCUCACAUGUACUGUAUGAGAAUUCACAUACAUGAUAAUCCAUGGUAAAUUAUUUACUACUUCUUAGUUACUCCUUACUUCCUUAUAUAAUCAUUCUUUUUAUUUUGGGAAUUAGCAAAAUAUUUGCCACCAUUCCAACAUAAUUACCCAUCCCUUUUUCGAUGUGGGAUACUUAACACCUCGCACUCUCAGGCCUCAUUAACUGGAGCGUGGACAAUAUAAUAUGGAGGCCCAACAUCGGUGAACAAAGAUUUGGGAUGGGUCUGGCUCUGAUACCAUGUAAAGAAUGGAUCUUGAGCCUAACUCAACCUCAAAAGCUAACUCAUGAGGAGAAGAUUGCCCAAGUCCAUAUAAGGAGACCAAUUACUCUUCCCUUUUACGAUGUGGGAUACUUAACAAUACUAUUAUAUACUACUUUCGCAACUAUCAAGAAUUCAAAUCCAUUAAUUAUUAGAAUUUAAAGAUUUGAUAUGAUCUGUUCUCUUCCAACUAGUUUUCAACCAUUUCUCUUUUAUAUGAGGGGAGAUUUUCAAAAAUAUCAUCAAAUUUAAUUGUGUCUUUCGUUCACCAUCUACUAUGAGCUCAUCCUACCCCCAAUUGAUAUCUUUCUACUGAUGAAUUGUGAACGGUUUUCUUGUUAACAUGAGUUCACACGGUCCAUUACAUAUUUAAUUUUGCUUUGUUUUUGUGUACAAACUUUGCACUUAAUCGCGGGUAGUUUACUUAUUUCUGAGAAUCUGAAUUCUGAUGAAAUCUGCCAUUGCACACAGUUUUCCUGUCUUGUAUUAUUUCUGGUAUCAGCACUUUCUUAUAAAAUACUACUUAUUAGAAACAGAAAUUAUUUUUAAUAAAUUCUAAAGUGUAGGUUAUUACAUCACUUUAAUGUCUGCUUAUGAAAAUUGCCAUGUCAUCAAUCUAAAAGUGAAGCCUUAUUAAUGUGAGGGGAUUACACUGCAUAAAUGUGUAUACUACAGCAGAGAAUCUCUCCGUCGUUGAAUCUGGUGUACUAUGGUUUGUUGCAGCGAAUCUCCCAAAGGUGCAAAUGAUGCAUCAACAGUUCAGAGAAAGGUUUGUUAAUCUACCAACUCUUUUGUGACUCCUUUUUGAGAAGGAAGUCUGUGACUCCUUCCCUCAUUCACAGUGUUUGCAUGGAAGUUGCUAUCAGAUUGUUCCUCUGUGCUUCCACUUUCUGGUUAUUGAACAAAUUCAUUGAAAAUGACUUCUCACGUAAUCUAUGGAAAAACAAAAGAAUGGAACUAUGUGAGGUACUUCUUUAAAAUCACACAUGUGGUAGGAUAAAAUUGCAUCUGAGCUGCAGCUCAAACUAUUUCCAGGUGAAAUAGCUUUGCUCAUCCUCUCAGUUCAGAGAAACUUAACUUUCAUAGUAUAGAACCUCAUGAGAUGGCUUCCUUUGGGGACUCGAUAAAACUGGAGGACGUCAUACAGUUGGCCUUAUAUACAUGUAUUUAAAAUGAGAGAACCUCAUGCAGUUGGCUGCAGGAAGUUGGAAGAAACAAGAAAGGAAGACAUUGUUUUUAUAAUAUAAUAAAAUAAGCCCAAACUGUUCUAACUGAAGUAUUAAAAUAAGUAGCCAUUAUUACCUCAACUGGCAGACAAAUGAGCAUAAGACAUUGCUGAUGUACAUUUAGGCCACUAUCGUGACAUGCCUAAUGAUACCAAAGUGGUGUUAUAUCAUAGGUACUUUACAUGAAUUGUUCGUUUUGUGAAGUAUCUGACUAGGUUCUCUAUGGUUUGUGCAACUUAAGUAUAUUUAUUUAAGCUCCUGGGGAAGUUCUUCCAUGGUUCUUAGAUUUCUCAUAUCCUUAUCAAAAAAUUUAGUUCUUCCAUGGUUCAGCUUGCAGUGGAGUGCUCUUUUGUUCUGCAUGUAUUCGCUUUGUGGAAUGUUGUCCACAAGAAGGGCUCACAGGUAAAUUCACGGUAUUCAACAGGUCUACCUUUUUCUAGGAAGCUAAUACACCGCUAGUUGAGUUUAAUGUGCCUCCUUGAACUUGUAGAGAAGCUUUGGGUGGAGCUUGAUAAUUUUGUAUUCGAUUGGCUUAUAAAUGCAGACAGGUCAUCGGGACUCGAAGAGUCUCGGACACCCGGUGCAAGUUAAAAAAAAAAUAAAAAAAAUGCAGGUUGGUUGUAAAGCUAUUUCAUAACUGGCGGUACUAGUCAGUUUCUUAUUUGUUUUUUUUCCUAGAAUAAUAGUCUUUUUUGAUCAAGUAAAGGUAUUUUCAGUCAUAAACAUGACCAAAUCGGUCAGCUACAAAGAUUACACCAAAAGAUCAAGACUCUACAAAAUAAGAGAGCGGAGGCUACUCCUCAAUUGCAAGAAACUCUACUACACACCUUUAUAAGCUCUUCUAUUUCUCUCUCCAAACUACCCACAUUAACGCUAUCGGAACCAUGUUCCAAGCUCUUCAUCGUCUUCGCCUUUUCCCGCUCUUCCAACUGAGCAUUAGAUCUUUCACAAUUCUUGGCAUUGCCCAAGGAGUGUGAAACCAUCUAAACAUAUCCCGCCAUAAUCACAUAAUGAGCCCGCAAUGUAGAAGGAGAUGAUUCACAUCCUCGCCUGUCUCCUUGCACAUGUAGCACCAACUAACACACACAACCUUCUGCUUUCUAAGAUUUUCGGCCAUCAAAAUCACCCCUCUAGUGGCUAGCAAAGUGAAAACCACACCUUCCUUGGCCCACUUUGAACCCAAAUUGCAUUACAUGGAAACUCAACCUCCUCCUAGUAGUAUAAGUUAUUUGCAAAUGCUAUGAGCCACCUUUUAGUUCAUUUAUCCUGUUGUGGUUUAUCCUUAUUUGCUAGAGCUGUAAAUGUAACUUCAGUAUGCUUUUCACUCUUCUUCCUGGGUUUUAUUAUAUUUUAUUUAAUUUUUAUUUAAAUUUUUUUUGGUCUUGUCUUCCAUAACAUAUUCAAAGGACAAUCUUUUUUUCAAGACCCUGUUCUUGUACAACAUCUAAGCAUUGCGAUUUACAAACUUCUUCUGUAUUGGUAUUUAUCGCCCAUCGACAAAAUAAUUGCCUUGUUUCUUGAGAGGUUAUGAAUGGCAUAAAGCAAGAAUUCUGUUGUUUUCAUUACGUUUCCCAUCUGUAAAAAAUGUUUUGGUCUUAAAUGGACUUCUAUAGGAUUACAAUAUGAUAACUGGGAUAGAUUUGUAAUCUAAACCUUUCCAUGUUGGAUAUACUGAUAUUUAUCUCUCUGGCAUGAUUGCUUUUGUUUUGUUUAAAUAUUUCUAUGGCUAUUUAGACAGCAAAUAGAGAUUAUCAAAUCUCACACAAAAAAAAAGAUUGUCUAAUUGACCUUGAUUUAGUAAAUCUUGACUCAAAUGCUAGAAUUAUGAAAUAACUAUAAACUUUGAAGUUAAUAUGCUGAACCAAUUUUAUCUAUUGCGGAGUGUUAGCCAGUUUGUGUAUCCUUCGUUGGUUGAUUUGCGGGGGCAUCUUCUUGAGUCUUGACUAGUUGCUGAACUCCUUGGUGCUCUAUCUAGGAUCAGAUUUAGUUCAGUGACUGAGCGCUUUUUCAUGGAAAAUACCCAUCGUAUAAAUACUAAUGUUGCUCGCAGUGAAGCACUUAGUAUUAUAAAUGGAAUGCGGUAUCUGAAGCUAGGGGUGAAGACAGAGGGUGGACUGAAUGCUUCAGCUUCCUUUGUGGCUAAAGCUAACCCUUUGAAUCGUGCUCCUCACAAAUGAAAAGGCGAACUUCAUCAUGCCUUAUGCUAUAUGCUUUCCAACAUCCUAGCACCUCUUGCAGACGGUGGAAAGGGUCAAUGGCCCCCUUCAAGCGUAGAUCCUGCACUAACUCUGUGGUAUGAAGCUGUGGCACGAAUAAGGAUGCAGCUCAUGCAUUGGAUGGAUAAACAGAGAAAACAUUUCUCUGUAAGCAUAGAAAUCUUUUUAUAGACCUUCCACUUGUCAAUAUCAUCUUUAUUUGGUCAUAAGGAUGGUUGAAAUUACCUAUUUAGUAAUAUUAGUCAUCAAAAAGAAAAAGGUUACCUAUUUUUUAAUACUUAAGCAGGAAUGUCAAACUGUACCGCAAGUUUGUGCUAAUGUGAGAUGGUUUUCCCUUCCUGCUUGUUGACCAAGUUAGUUCUUUAUCAUUCUUUUUUCCGCAGAGCAUGCAAGCAUUCUUACAUUUUGGUUUUGGGGUCAUACUCUUCAUUGAUGUUGCUAUCUCUUUUCUCUACUUUUAGCAGAUAUUUUAGAUCCUUUGUGCCUAGAAUAUUGAUUAAGUUGCCUAGAGGAUACAUGUAUUAAAUCUUCUAUUGUAAGACUCUGGUAUUUGGCAAGCAAAAUUGGAAUCCAGGGAACAGCUGGAAUUUGCUAUACUUGGCUUCCUUCAUUCAGCUCAGGGCACUAUAUAACUUGUCAUCUGAAGGACAGGGUGUAGUGCUUACCAAGUUAAUAUGCUAGCCUGGAAAAAGUUACAAUGGAUAAUGACCACUCAGCUUGUCUUGAGCUUAAUGGAUUUAGUACGUGAAGAGGCCGCGGCCUCUCAAAAUGUGAGAAGAACAAAAACAUUCUGAAGAGUCCUCUCUUAAAUGCUCAUGUUGAAUUUAUAGCCUCCCCCUCACCCCCCAAAUUGUUGUAAUUACUUAUUUCUGUAUUGUUAGGUUGUUAAUUUCUCUAAUUUGUAUUUCUGCAACUCUAGGUUGCCUAUCCUUUAGUGAUGCUUCUUUUGUGUCUUCAGUCUAUAUAUACUCUUUGAGAGCCCGGAUAAGAACAGAUGGGCCCGCUGUCUUAGCUAGCUCGUCAAGCAUGCAGCGGAGUUGUGUCCAAGUUCUGUUCAGGA